rnacentral:snRNA from 1 species
GUGCUCACUUCAGCAACACAGAUGCUAAAAUUAGAUAAUAUAUAAAUAGACCCCAUGACCAAUGCACAAGGAUGACAUGCAAUUCACGGAAGUGUUCCAUAUUUUU